ensembl:lncRNA
AUGUUGCUAAAAGUGGGAGCAAAUGCGGAUGAUUGGCAUGCUGGUGUGUCUCUGCAUCCUUACUGUGCCAUUUUUGAUGCCCUGCCGAUCAUUUCGAGAACCAAGACCCUGUGUGCCAUCACAGUACCCUACGGAAUCUACUCGACAUAUGUCCCUUUGGCAGCUGGGUCCACAACUGUCCACCCAGCUUACGCCCGCACCUCGGCAGCUGAGCCACACUUCCCCGGGUCAGUGAGGACAGAGGUAGGAGACAAAAAAAGAAACAGCCAGGCCAUCAAUCAGUUCACAAGUCAGACAAAUUGACAAAACAAAAUUCAUAAACGAGGCCCUUUACUGACGGCAGACCUCAUAACGUUUAUCCGAAAUCCAUUUUACCUGACUGUUAUGUGAACAUUAGGGAUCAUUGAGCAUCACCUUAGCCAUGCGUGAAGAUUCAUGCCAUGUGUUUCAUCUGCAGUAGACGUCAAAAUCAAUAGCCAAUGUCAGCGGCACCAUAGCGUCUCGCUUCCUGACUCGCCUCUGCCUCAGAUUCUGACUUAAGUCUUUUAUGUUAUGACAGGAUGGGCUAUAGAUGUCAGUUUGUAGCAUUAAGGAACAAAAACUACAAAAACACACUUGCACUUCUGUUACAGAAGUGAAAUUCCAACAUCGGUGUCAAGAAUCUGAAAUAAUGGACAGUGUAAUCCGUUUAAAAAGCUGGACACCAAUGACAUGCUAGGAGAUGUAUCCACUUUCAAUGAAAGCAUAGCUCAGAUGUUAUUUAAUCACAAUCCUGGGGUCUGAACUGAGUUGGGAGGAGCAGGCAAGAAUUUUGACGACAAUCAUGAAAAACAGACUGUUAAAGUUCAUUGCAUUUAAAGGAAUGAAAUGGCUCUGUUUAGAAUUUUAAAUUCAGCAUGUCCUUGUAAGGUGUGUUACCUACAGUACAAAGCCCUGAUCAGGGCAGUGUGUGUUUGUGAGGUCUGAAGCCCCUCUGAAAUGCAACGGUCUCUAAAUCCACCCUGGAUUAGUGAAGGUUGGGUUAGAUCUGAUUGGUAACAUUGCUCAAAUCCUUCCGCAUGCUCAAAAGCUCCACAAAAUGGGAGAGCUUUAGUGUCCCUGAGAAAAGAACAAACAACCCCCUGACCCCCUCCUUUCUAAACCAUGCCAGCCAAACACAAAUUUCAUAAUAUUUCAGCAGGGUUGUAUGAAAUUUUGGAAUUUAAUUGAAAUGAGAAUGCCUUUUAAAUACCAAUUCAGUUCUUGAAUUUGAAUUGAGGUAGCAAACAGGAUGCUAAAAUUAAAAUUCAAACUUGAAUGUAAAUACAUUUGCUGCAGGUGAAAACAUUUUAAUUAUGUUUAAUUUGAUAUUUCUAUAUAUUUGACUUGUAUGAAUCUGGAUGAAGAAAUUCUGUGCAUUCUAAUAUGUCAAUAUUGUGGUUCAACCAGUAGCAUGAAUGAUGGCAGAUGGGGCAGUAUUUGGGAAACCUGUCUGAAAACAAUACUACUGGAAUUAUUUUUGCUCCCUCUAGUGGAGAACUGACAUGCAUCAGCUUUCUGAGGCUUUUUGAUUAACAUGUUUUUAAUUUCAGCCACUAAUCUGAUGGGCAAGGCCAUCUCUUUUUUUUUUUUUUUUUUUUUUUUUUUUUUUGAAGGAACAGCAAACACAAAGCAUUUCUGCAGUAAUAAUCUCUUGGGCUUUAUUCAAAUAAGAACUUCAUCAUGAUACACUACAGGCGAUCUCUGCAAAGGGCUUUCACUAAUUGAUUAAAUAUUCAUAAAUAAAUACUGCUUUAGAAAAAGCCAUCACGGCAGCUCAUGUUUACAUUUUUCUAUUUUUCAUUGGAGGAAAUGAAAGAGUGAGAACUGUGUGGAAUAACACAGUGGAAUAACAAAGAAAAGUGUGUUGUUAUUUUUCCCUGCUAAUUGAUACAAUGUCUCCAAGCAGGUCAGCAAGCUGGGUUUCACCCUCGGGCCUUCUUUCAAAGUCAGGCUCAUCUUCUACUACGGCCAGUCAAUAUUUGAUUUCAGCUGGGGCCUGGUCUUGGGCACUGACCUACAAAAGAGAUACAUUUCUUCAUCUGUCUCCUUAAGGUCCAUUUUUUAUUUCCAUACUGCAGAGUCAAUUUUUUGCUCCCUGUCAUGAGGAAAUACAUAAUUCCAUGGAUGGAGGGUGCAGUUGUGGGCCAAAAGAGGGGGAGAAACCAUACCGGCGAACCUAGCUGGACAACUCAUAGCUGGAGUUGAGAUGGAGAGUGUGUGUAUGUGUGUGUUUGAGGGUGGGAGGACAAGGCUGGUCGAAUGAGUUGAUAUUCUGCAGCUGGAAUGAAUGCUAAUUUAAUCAAUGUGCUGUAAAUUCGACUAGCUGCUGACUCAUUUGUGACUGCUGCCCCAUGGGGCCAUUGCAGUUUGCUCCCCAGGUGCAUUUUAAAAUGCCCUCUCUCUCUCUCUCUCUCUCUCUCUCUCUCUCUCUCUCUUUCUUUUUACACACACUCGCAAAGAUACACAGAUGAAUUUGCACAUACAUACAGUAUUGGAGAGCUAUAGGCAUGUUGAGGUCAUGCAUCUGCAAAACCGCUAUUUGUAUGUAAUGUGUGUGUGUGUGUGUGUACGUAUGUGUGUGUUCUUGUGUAAAGUGCUGAAUUGGUGACUUGGGAAGCACUGAGGUGAGGGGUUAGAUACUUACCUCUGUUUCCUUGGACCCAUAUGUCAGCCACUAUAGAUGUCCUAACCAUCAAUUUCAGUGACUUUUCAAACACGUAAACACAUGCACACACACACACACGCUUAAGGGAGAGUUGUUACAGGACCCAGUUGCUUAUCUGAAUGAUGUAAAUGUUAUCAUGGGUAACGUGACAGCAUUGGUUGUUGGAGAAUGAUGCAAAUCAGAGAAAAAAAACUGAGGGAAGAGGUGAAAAUUAUCGUAGGACAGUGAAAUUACAAAUGUAAUCUCUUUAAAAUCUAAAUUUUUGAGCAAAUGCAAAUGGGGACUAGUAUUCUCUCAGAUUUCUCUUUUAGAAUUUUGUCAGAGAUGUCAAGAACAUCCACUUCCACACUAUUAAAUUGCAGUAAAACAGUAGAUUAGCCAUUCCAGAAUAUCUAUACUGUUAUCAUCAUGUAUCAUGACUAAAUUAUGUGAUAUUUGCCAGAAACAUAGUAAGAUUGUAAGAGAAUCUUACCAAGUGUUCCAGUAAUCUUUCUUUCUUUUUUUCUGUAAAUAGUAAUAUGCUGUUAAAUUUAGAGAAAAUGCUGUAUGUGUGAAGAUGCUGUCACACACUGGGAUCAGAUAGCAAAAUCUGAAAUCAGCACAAAUAGUCUGAUCCACAUUUGAUUCGGUCUCAGUUGAUUUCGACGUCCUUUGUAUCUCCUGAAGUUCCGAAAAUUUUCCUCUAGGUUGAUCAAAAGGAAGAACAAGAGGCAACGAGUUUAAGAUAUAGUCUGAGGAAGAAAGAGAGUGAGAUCAAGAGAGAAAGGACACAGAGGAAUGGAGAGUGGGGACUGCUGAGGGAUAAUCCUGAGGGACAGGUUUUAUGGCUAUGUGGAAAUUUAUUUAGAAUAAGUCCGCAGUACCCAGUGCGUGCAGACUUGGGGGGAGAACGAGGGACUUUAAUUAAUGAGAGCACGCUUGUCGCAGGCUUUGGAAAGGCUGCU